ACAGCCUAAAUUCUUUGCGGCAGAGCUACACACAUGGACAGUCGCUCAGGAAGGGUUACUCGGAAUGGCACACGUGAAAUAAAUGCUCAGAGCUGGAGAAAUCUUCCAAUAGUUACAAAACAGAAGAGGUACAAGGACUUUAUUGGGAUGACAUGGGCUGAUCAUUCCUAAAGUCAUCAUUCCAUCCCUCAAGAAAAUGAUACUUCCUAAUUAUGUCUAAUGGCACACACCUUCCAAGGCUAAGCCUUCAAACAGAUGAGCCUCAAUGACUCCAGCUGUCUCCUCACUCCAUUCUGCCAAAACCCGGAAGGUGCGACAGGUGCGGAGACAACAGCCGCCAGCCGUGGUGUCCAAGCGGACUGAGUGUGAGGACAGCCAGCUCAGGGCAGUGCAGAGCAGGGAAGGGAGAGCCUGCUACAGGUUGCAGUGAUUGGCUUCAGCAGCUGCUUCCCAGCUUUGCCUCCA